GACGAACGCUGGCGGCGUGCUUAACACAUGCAAGUCGAACGGAAAGGCCCUGCUUUUGUGGGUUGCUCGAUUGGCGAACGCGUGAGUAACACGUGAGUAACCUGCCCUUGACUUUGUGAUAACUUCAGGAAACUGGGGCUAAUACCGGGUAUGAUCUCCUGCUCCGUGGUGUUGGAUGGAAAGAUUCGGCGGUUGUGGAUGGACUCGAGGGUUAUCCGCUUGUUGGGGGGGUAGUGGCUUACCACGGCUUUGACGGGUCGCCGGCAUGGGAGCGUGACCGGCGACAAUGGGCCUGCGAUACGGAGCAGACUGGUACGGGAGGCAGCAGGGGGGAGUAUUGCGCAACGAGGCGAAGCGUGAUGCAGCGACGCCGCGUGCGGGAUGACGGCUUUCGGGUUGUAAACCGAUUUCGAAUGUGACGAAGCGUGAGUGACGGUAAUGGGUAAAGAAGCACCGGCUAACUACGUG
rnacentral:rRNA from 1 species